UUUGCUUGUCGACGAUUAUUAAUAUAAUCGUUCUUCAACAUCCGCAGAAAUACAUCAAAUCUUUAUAAUAUUUCGAGGCACAAUAUUUUGUCUUUAUCGAUAGUACAAUUUUUUUGUGGCGGUACGAAGUGCGAAGAGCAACAUGUUGCAUUUGCUUGUCGUUUGCGGUAUCAUUUGUGACGUUUCUGAACGUACAUGUUAUUGGUGACAAUUAAGAGAUUACGAAUAUGUACUAGGAAAGCAGGAUGUUCUGUUGAUUUCAUAUAAACGUUACUGAAGUACAACGAGUGAAGAAGAGAACGUGUGCCAAUAGAACGAAACGUGAAUUGUAAGAAGAAUGUCUAUACAACAGUGGAUGCAAAUACGACACAACAUCGAAAUUCCAUGGAAAACAUUUGUCAGAGAAUCGCCGAAUGUGAGGGAUAAAUCUCCAGAGAGGUGCAUACAUCAGUUGGCCUUUCAAGGAAACGAAGCAAAAGCUGCCUAUGAAGAAAUCAUUCAUCAGACCAGCAAUAGCAAUAUUUCAUUAGCCAAAUUGAAGUACUUGAGAUCAAAAACUAUUGGAAAUCAAUGCAACUAUGGCACGAAUCUAGCUUCUACCACAGCACAAUCAAAGAAGAUAAUACCAGAUGAUAUUUUAACAAAAGUUACAAUUAAUACACUGUUGAAAGCAGUGGAGCAAAAGGACUUGAAAUUCUUGCAGAAAUAUAUGACGACGGAAAAUGUGAAUGUAACUGAUGACUUUGGUUGGACACCUUUAAUGUCUGCUGCUUAUUGUGGUCAUGUGGAGAUUGUACAAUUCUUGUUAAAUUUGGGAGCUAACAAAAGGACCAGAGAUAAAUCAGGUCUUACCGCAGCCCAAUUAGCCUUGAAAAAAAAUUAUUUGAGUAUCGUCGCACUGUUAAAGAAAAAAUCUGAUUCGAUAAAUAGUAUUAAUCAUAUAUCUGCAAAUAUUUCUACUACAAAUAACAUGAAUACUUUACCAAUUAGAUCAAUGCCUAUAGAAUCAUCAAUGGAGCAUAGUAAAGAUGACAUUAUAGAAGAAAAUACACAAUUGAAGCAAAAUGCAGCGUUUUAUUGUGAAACUUGUAAAGCAACCUUUCAUGAAACAACACUGCAAAAACAUGAUAGUUCUACUCUACAUAUAUUUAAUACCAAGCCAAAACUGAAGCAUACAAUGUAUGGAAUAUCAAGACAAAAUAAAGGAUAUAAAAUGCUUUUGAAUACGGGAUGGGAUGAAGAAACUGGUCUUGGUCCUUUUGGGAAAGGAAUAAAAUAUCCAAUUAAAACGUGUUUGAAAAUGGAUCGCAAAGGAUUGGGACAAUUAGUGGAUAAUGAAUAUAAAAUUACUCACUUUAAACCGGGUGAUACAACUGCAAUUAACAGCUCUAAAGUACCUAAACAAAAACCUUUGAAAAAGAGGGAUAGAGAAAAGCUACUUCAUAGAGAAGCUAGGAAAGAAAGAGCUCUACGUAUAGCCUUAUCUUAAAUUAGAUAUAAAAAAUUCUAGAAAUUUGAAUAUAUUUAUUUCAAUAUUGAAUAAAAUAAUGAAAAUAAUUUUUACUGUUCUUACUUAUGCUUAUGAUGAAUGAACACCAAAGAUUAUUGGAACAUUUGGAAAAAGUUGAAAACAAAGCGGGCGAAAUUCUCACUGAUCACGAGGAAAUAGUCGCUCUGGACAAAAGAAGGAAUGAUGAUCGUGUUGGAAUGAGGGCACUUCAAAAACAAUCGCAUGAAAAAGCAUGGAUAACGGUGGGACCAUUGCUUUUAAAGAUGCCGUCGAAAGCAGCUGAAGAAUUGCUUGAAAAAG